ensembl:snRNA U6 U6 spliceosomal RNA
GGGCUUACUUUGAUAGCACAUACACUAAAAUUGGAUACACAGAGAGAAGAUUAGCACAGUUCGUGUGCAAAGGUGCCACACAAAUUCAUGAAGCAUUCUAUAUUUUU